rnacentral:rRNA from 1 species
GACGAACGCUGGCGGCGUGCUUAACACAUGCAAGUCGAACGGAAAGGCCCUGCUUUUGUGGGGUGCUCGAGUGGCGAACGGGUGAGUAACACGUGAGUAACCUGCCCUUAACUUUGGGAUAACUUCAGGAAACUGGGGCUAAUACCGGAUAGGAGCUCCUGCUGCAUGGUGGGGGUUGGAAAGUUUCGGCGGUUGGGGAUGGACUCGCGGCUUAUCAGCUUGUUGGUGGGGUAGUGGCUUACCAAGGCUUUGACGGGUAGCCGGCCUGAGAGGGUGACCGGCCACAUUGGGACUGAGAUACGGCCCAGACUCCUACGGGAGGCAGCAGUGGGGAAUAUUGCACAAUGGGCGGAAGCCUGAUGCAGCAACGCCGCGUGCGGGAUGACGGCCUUCGGGUUGUAAACCGCUUUCGCCUGUGACGAAGCGUGAGUGACGGUAAUGGGUAAAGAAGCACCGGCUAACCACGUG